rnacentral:rRNA from 1 species
UAUCUCUGUAGAGUCUGCAUAUCAAUAAGCGGAGGAAAAGAAACUAACAAGGAUUCCCCUAGUAACGGCGAGUGAAGCGGGAAGAGCUCAAAUUUGAAAUCUUCAAGGUUUGACCUUGACGAAUUGUAGUUUAAAGAGGUGUUUUCGGUUAGAGGAGUAGUAAAAGUUCUUUGGAAUAGGACAUCAUAGAGGGUGAGAAUCCCGUAUUUGACUAUUCUUUCUAGCUUUGUGAUACACUUUCAAAGAGUCGGAUUGUUUGGGAAUGCAGUCCAAAAUGGGUGGUAAAUUUCAUCUAAAGCUAAAUAUUGGCGAGAGACCGAUAGCGAACAAGUACCGUGAGGGAAAGAUGAAAAGAACUUUGAAAAGAGAGUUAAACAGUACGUGAAAUUGUCAAAAGGGAAGCGUUUGACACCAGUGUUGUUUUUCCGAAAAUCAAUUAAAAAUUGAUUCAUGCCAGGUUGUAUUGACCUUAUCAGCUUGCAAUUUGGUUUUGGGUCUCUUUUUGAUGCACUUUUCGGUUAACAAGUCAACAUCAAUUUCCUUUGCUGUAAAAAGGUAAGAGGAAGGUGGCUUCAAUUUCGGUUGAAGUGUUUAUAGCCUUUUAUCUCUGCAGUCGGGGAGAUUGAGGUCUGCAGCGUAGAUCCUUCGGGGCUAGAUACAUUUAUGCUAAGUUAUAGCUUUUCAUAGACAACUUGUUGACUAUGUUUAGUCAUGUAGCUUACUCGUAAGUGCUAUUUUACCUACGCUUAGGAUGUUGAAGACUCUACAGAGAUA